AAUAACUAUGAUUCCCUUAGUAGUGGCGAAUGAACCGGGAAUAGUUCAAGCCUUUAAUCCUUCUCUUUUGAGACAGGAGUUGUGGUCUACCCUAGCGUUACCUGAGUCGUCAUCCCGACCAGAUCUUGUUGAAAUAUAGUGUCAUAGAGGGUUAUAACCCCGUCCGUUGGGAUAGUGUACUCUUCCGGUGCGCUAAGUGUGAGUCGUGUUACUUGGGACUGUAGCACUAAUUGGGUGGUAAUAUCCAUCUAAAACUAAAUAUUACUUUGAGACCGAUAGCGAACAAGUACCGUGAGGGAAAGAUGAAAAGGAAUUUGAAAAGAAUGUGAAAAGUACGUGAAAUCGUUGUGUGAAAGCGAAUAGCAUACCCUUGACGUGUACCUUACUCCUGUUACGUUGAUUUCUCAUGCUUCGGCUUGAUUUUUCUGCUUUCUGGUGUUUGGUAGAGGUUUGAUCGUCCUUUUUCGUUGGUAGUCGUGUUGUUGAUUCCUUGAACUGCCGCUACUGUGGUACUCUUGGCUUUGGCCGCCUUCUGUCUUCGUUUGGUCAUCUUGACGUCAUUAUGGUGUUGUUAUCCGACCCGUCUUGAAACACGGACCAAGGAGUCUAACAUGUGUGCGAGUAUUUGAGUUGUAAACUCUUCUGCGCAGAGAAAUCGAUUGACUGAUAACACUUGAGUGUUCCUCAGCGGCUGUUCUGAUUCUUCGGAUGACGACUACUCGCUUGAGCAUAUAUGU
rnacentral:rRNA from 1 species